rnacentral:rRNA from 1 species
CCUACGGGAGGCUGCAGUGAGGAAUAUUGGUCAAUGGACGAGAGUCUGAACCAGCCAAGUAGCGUGAAGGAUGACUGCCCUAUGGGUUGUAAACUUCUUUUAUCUGGGAAUAAAAUGUUCCAUGUGUGGGAUUUUGUAUGUACCAUAUGAAUAAGGAUCGGCUAACUCCGUGCCAGCAGCCGCGGUAAUACGGAGGAUCCGAGCGUUAUCCGGAUUUAUUGGGUUUAAAGGGAGCGUAGGUGGGUUGUUAAGUCAGUUGUGAAAGUUUGCGGCUCAACCGUAUAAUUGCAGUUGAAACUGGCAGUCUUGAGUACAGUAGAGGUGGGCGGAAUUCGUGGUGUAGCGGUGAAAUGCUUAGAUAUCACGAAGAACUCCGAUUGCGAAGGCAGUUCACUGGACUGCAACUGACACUGAGGCACGAAAGUGUGGGUAUCAAACAGGAUUAGAUACCCCUGUAGUC